rnacentral:rRNA from 1 species
UACGUAGGGUGCAAGCGUUGUCCGGAAUUAUUGGGCGUAAAGAGCUCGUAGGCGGUCUGUCGCGUCUGCUGUGAAAACUCAGGGCUUAACCCUGAGCUUGCAGUGGGUACGGGCAGACUAGAGUGCGGUAGGGGAGACUGGAAUUCCUGGUGUAGCGGUGAAAUGCGCAGAUAUCGGGAGGAACACCGGUGGCGAAGGCGGUUCUCUGGGCCUUACCUGACGCUGAGGAGCGAAAGCGUGGGUAGCAAACAGG